rnacentral:rRNA from 1 species
UACGUAGGGAGCAAGCGUUGUCCGGAAUCAUUGGGCGUAAAGCGCGCGUAGGCGGCCCUGUAAGUCCGUUGUGAAAGUCAAAGGCUCAACCUUUGAAAGCCGAUGGAUACUGCAGGGCUAGAGUCCGGAAGAGGCGAGUGGAAUUCCUGGUGUAGCGGUGGAAUGCGCAGGAUAUCAGGAGGAACACCGAUGGCGAAGGCAGGAUCUCUGGGCCGAUGACUGAC